rnacentral:rRNA from 1 species
AGGACGAACGCUGGCGGCGUGCCUAACACAUGCAAGUCGAGCGGAGUCGGUAAGAGGAAGUUUCGGAUGGAAUCUUAUGAUUAGCGGCGGACGGGUGAGUAACGCGUGAGCGACCAACCUUGCACAGGGGGAUAACGGACCGAAAGGUUCACUAAUACCGCAUGAGACCACGGUGUUGCGUGACACAGAGGUCAAAGGAGCAAUCCGGUGCAAGACGGGCUCGCGUCCGAUUAGGUAGUUGGAGGGGUAACGGCCCACCAAGCCUAUGAUCGGUAGCCGACCUGAGAGGGUGAUCGGCCACAUUGGAACUGAGAUACGGUCCAAACUCCUACGGGAGGCAGCAGUGGGGAAUAUUGGGCCAAUGGGGGAAACCCUGACCCAGCAACGCCGCGUGAAGGAAGAAGGUUUUCGGAUUGUAAACUUCUGUCCUUGGUGAAGAGAAGAAGACGGUAGCCAAGGAGGAAGCCCCGGCUAACUACGUGCCAGCCGCCGC